CGCCCCUGCCGGCUAGGUGAAGGUGAGAGUCUCCUCCAGUCGCCGCGGUUGGACCGGACCGAGCGGCUUCAAGCGCAGAGUGGAAGCUUUCGGCCGACUCCAGCUUUCUAGCUAUGGCGCCUCCAUCAAUCUUUGCCGAGGUUCCUCAGGCCCAGCCGGUCCUUGUCUUUAAGCUCACUGCUGACUUCCGGGAGGAUCCGGACCCUCGCAAGGUCAACCUGGGAGUGGGAGCUUAUCGCACGGAUGAUAGCCAGCCCUGGGUUUUGCCAGUCGUGAGGAAGGUGGAGCAGAGGAUUGCUAAUGACAGCAGUGUGAACCACGAGUACCUGCCCAUCCUGGGCCUGGCAGAGUUCCGGACCCGUGCUUCCCGCCUGGCCCUUGGGGAUGACAGCCCAGCUCUGCAGGAGAAGCGGGUAGGAGGUGUGCAGUGUUUGGGGGGAACAGGUGCACUUCGAAUUGGAGCUGAGUUCUUAGCGCGAUGGUACAAUGGAACAAACAACAAGGACACGCCCGUCUAUGUAUCCUCACCAACCUGGGAGAAUCAUAAUGGUGUCUUUAUUGCCGCUGGAUUUAAAGAAAUUCGGUCUUAUCACUAUUGGGAUGCAGCGAAGAGAGGACUAGACCUCCAGGGUUUUCUGAAUGAUCUGGAGAAAGCUCCCGAGUUCUCCAUCUUUGUCCUCCACGCCUGUGCACACAACCCGACUGGGACUGACCCAACUCCGGAGCAGUGGAAGCAGAUUGCCUCUGUCAUGAAGCGCCGGUUUCUGUUCCCCUUCUUUGACUCAGCCUAUCAGGGCUUCGCAUCUGGCAACCUGGAAAAAGACGCCUGGGCCAUUCGCUAUUUUGUGUCUGAAGGGUUCGAGCUCUUCUGUGCCCAGUCCUUCUCCAAGAACUUCGGGCUCUACAAUGAGCGAGUGGGGAAUCUGACCGUGGUUGCGAAAGAACCUGAUAGCAUCCUCCGGGUCCUUUCCCAGAUGGAGAAGAUAGUGCGAAUUACGUGGUCCAAUCCCCCUGCUCAGGGAGCACGAAUCGUGGCCCAUACCCUCUCUGACCCUGAGCUUUUUAAUGAAUGGACAGGUAAUGUGAAGACAAUGGCUGACCGCAUUCUGACCAUGAGAUCUGAGCUCAGGGCACGAUUAGAAGCCCUCAAGACCCCUGGAACCUGGAACCAUAUCACGGAGCAGAUUGGAAUGUUCAGUUUCACCGGGUUGAACUCUGGCGGGCCGUUUUCAUCUGGGUGAAGAGCUACUCACUCAAGGUUCUCAGCAACUUCUGGCCCAUGGUUUCCUCAAAGCCGCUGCUGCAGCGGCUGGUCUCUGUGUCCAGGUUGAUAUGACAACAUUCACUAUCUGAUGCUGAGAGAAAGGGAAGAAGGAAGAACACAAGCCUUUCCCACCUACACACCCAGGGACCCAGGGCCCAGUUUCCCUCCCUGACCUGCUCUCAUGGGAACAGCUGCAGGAGACAGUGAGAGUUGCUGCGUGCUCUGCCCCUCGAAGUCUGUCAUCUCCUCCUGGGUGAAGGCCAUCUCCUCCAUCCUCAGGUAGAAAAACGGACCAUGUGCUAUGAUGCUCAGCUGCCCUAGUCACAGCAAGGUCCUCUGGCCUGAGAAAAAGGAUGACACCUGCACCUGAGAAUUGACCUCAGAUUUGGAGUUCUCAACACCUCACUGGCUCAUGUCAGGAAAGAGACUUCCCUUUUAUGCUCCUUGUUAUUUAUAGAAUGUUCCCUUUCCUUAUGUUUUAGGGGUGGAUAUAUGAGAUCAACUGUAAGUUUUAGGAAAAUCCUUACAGUCUUAGUGUCAGGUAUUCAUCCUAACACAUUCCUCUUGGAGGAGUUGCCAGAUCCAUCUCCUGAAAGCGCUCCCCAAUCGAUGCCCAGAGGUGUUUCAAAAAACUCUGGGCUCAUCACAGUUGCUCAUUAAACACCACUCCUCAAAAUCUCAUUCACUUUUCUCCCCAAAGCCUCAUAUGGAUUUUCUCAACUUAAGAUAUAAAUGGUGUUAUGGACUGAAUGUUUGUGUCCCCUCCAAAAUUCAUAUGCUGAAACCCUAACCCCCAAGGUGAUGGCAUUAGGAGGUGG